UCUCAUAUUUGUUCCUGUGAAUAAAAGUUUUAUAGAAAAAUGAAGUAUUGGAAAAGUUUUCUUAGUAGAAUUUUACACAAGAUUUAUGAGCACACUUCAAUCUGUUAACAUAAGGUGGUCUAUUUAAUAUACCUAAUUAGUUCUCUAUUACUGCAUAACCGCUUACAUUUAUUACCUCACAGUGUCCAUAGAUCAAGAACCUGGGCAUGGUUUAACUGGGUCCUGUGCUCAAGAUCUCAUAAAUCUGCAAUCGAGGUGUCAGUCAGGAUUGGAGUCUUGUUGUGGCAUGGGAUCCUUUUCUGAACUCGUUGUGAUUGGAAGAAUUCAUUCCUGUGUUAUAGAAAUAGGCCCUCAGUUCCUCAAAGCUAUUUCCUCUACUGAAAAUUCAAAUCAUGGCUUCUGUGUCCUUAAAGGGUACAGGAGAGCAUUUCUCUGACUUCACCCAUCUCUGACCUUUAGACCCUCUUUUAAUGGUUCACCUAACAAGGGCAGGCUCAAUCCAGAAUAAGCCCAUUAUUAUAUUUUAAACUAAUUAAGUAACAAUUACAUAUGUAACUCCACA
rnacentral:lncRNA from 1 species